UACGUAGGUGGCAAGCGUUGUCCGGAGUUAUUGGGCGUAAAGCGCGCGCAGGCGGUGCGGUAAGUCUCUGGUGAAAGCGCUCGGCUUAACUGGGCGAGGGCCGGGGAGACUGCCACGCUGGAGGGGAGCAGAGGCGAGUGGAAUUCCGGGUGUAGUGGUGAAAUGCGUAGAGAUCCGGAGGAACACCAGUGGCGAAGGCGGCUCGCUGGGCUCUACCUGACGCUGAGGCGCGAAAGCGUGGGGGGCGAACCGG
rnacentral:rRNA from 1 species